rnacentral:lncRNA from 1 species
AAAAGUGAAAGCUAAAAGAAAAAUAACAUGAAGCUAAAACGUUUCCAAACUGUCAAUAAUAUCUCUCUCUCUCUCUCUCUCUCUCAGAAAGAUGCCAGCUCUUCUUACCAGGGAAGCGGGCGUGCGCACGCACGGACCGUUGGACUGGGCCCUCGGAGUUGAGUCCUGGUACUCGACACAAGAACACGGCGGCCUCUGGGGAGGCUCUGGUAGGUUGACCCCUGCUGCUUCCCGGCUCAGGGCUUGCUCCUCUCACGGAAGAUGCGGGGCCCCAGGUGCUGACGACUGGGAGCGCUGACCCGCCUCCUCGUGGCAGCUGCGCCGGAGCGCUGGGCACCUCACCUGCUUCCGGGCUCGCGGCGGUCAGGGUCAGCAUCGACUCCACGGAUUGGCACAUUCAGUUCUGAAGGAAUACUAACUGCGUUGGGUGCUCUGGCGACAUUGUUUGCACUGUUUCUACAACCAGACAGCUUUUUAGAUUAAAUUCGUGCCCAAACUAACACACACGAGAAAGAGCUGCAGCUGCAGCUCCUGGGUCGGUCAGGCGGGGGAACAGCUCUACCGGAAGAGCCUGUGUGUCCUGAGCAGGCGCCCUUCCUUGCUCAGCAGGGCGGUCUGGAUGUGCUCAGGUCUGCAGGGGGGCAGGUCGGUCAAGUCGCCCAGGGCGGCCACUGCCGGCUUCCCUCGGAGCACCUUAGAAGCAACCCUCGUCAGGUCUUCCGGCGUCACGUUGCGGAGGAGCGUGCGCAGCGCCUGCGGCAGCUUUCUGAACUGAACGGCCAGCACCUGCUUCCCCAAAUCCUCAAAAUAUCACAGGCCUGGACUCCAGGUUCGUCAUGAGCAUGGACGUCAGCUGCGUCUUGGCUUGCUCCAGCUCCACCGCGUCCACGGUUCCGCCCAUGAAAAUAAACUCCUUUGUGAUGAUUUCUACCAUUUCUCCUGGGUAGGCGCUGGCAUGGAUGCACAGGAGGCCAGUGUCCUCGUAGCUGUGGCGGUAGAAGGUCGCGUUAUACAUCCAGCUGUGCCUGUUGAGCACGUUGAGGUAGGGCCUGGAGAACAUGCCCUUGCCAGGCCCACCAGCCGAGAAGGAGCCGCCUCUGCCCAUCAUCAGGUUCAACACAGCGAAGGGAUGAAGUCCUCUUCCAGGAAGGAGCAGCUCUCCAGUCCCACCAUGAGGGAAAAUUUAUUGAAAGAUGGCCUCCUGCAACUGCUCAAAAUGCAACAUUCUCCCCAAGUCCUUCUCAGACCACUGACAACUCAGAAGUUAACACUCAAGAGAGGAAAGGUGAGUCAAGGCUGUUUGAUGACUACCCCAUGAAAAGAAUCGGAAUCACAUUCCUCUUGAUUCCUGUGUCUUUCUUAACAACGUUAAGUGUAAUG